rnacentral:rRNA from 1 species
GGAAUCUUCCGCAAUGGACGAAAGUCUGACGGAGCAACGCCGCGUGAGUGAUGAAGGUUUUCGGAUCGUAAAGCUCUGUUGUUAGGGAAGAACAAGUGCAAGAGUAACUGCUUGCACCUUGACGGUACCUAACCAGAAAGCCACGGCUAACUACGUGCCAGCAGCCGCGGUAAUACGUAGGUGGCAAGCGUUGUCCGGAAUUAUUGGGCGUAAAGGGCUCGCAGGCGGUUUCUUAAGUCUGAUGUGAAAGCCCCCGGCUCAACCGGGGAGGGUCAUUGGAAACUGGGAAACUUGAGUGCAGAAGAGGAGAGUGGAAUUCCACGUGUAGCGGUGAAAUGCGUAGAGAUGUGGAGGAACACCAGUGGCGAAGGCGACUCUCUGGUCUGUAACUGACGCUGAGGAGCGAAAGCGUGGGGAGCGAACA